rnacentral:rRNA from 1 species
UGAGGAAUAUUGGUCAAUGGGGGAAACCCUGAACCAGCGACGCCGCGUGAGUGAUGAAGGCUUUCGGGUCGUAAAGCUCUGUCGAGGGGAAAGAAGUGUAUAUUGGUUAAUACCCAUAAUACUUGACGGUACCCCUGAAGGAAGCACCGGCUAACUCCGUGCCAGCAGCCGCGGUAAUACGGGGGGUGCAAGCGUUGUUCGGAAUUAUUGGGCGUAAAGCGCGUGUAGGCGGUCUGAUUAGUCUGAUGUGAAAGCCCUGGGCUCAACCCAGGAAGUGCAUUGGAUACUGUCAGACUUGAAUACGGGAGAGGGUAGUGGAAUUCCUAGUGUAGGAGUGAAAUCCGUAGAUAUUAGGAGGAACACCGGUGGCGAAGGCGGCUACCUGGACCGAUAUUGACGCUGAGACGCGAAAGCGUGGGUAGCAAACAGG